rnacentral:rRNA from 1 species
GAUGAACGCUGGCGGCGUGCCUAAUACAUGCAAGUCGAGCGAACAGACGAGGAGCUUGCUCCUUUGACGUUAACGGCGGACGGGUGAGUAACACGUAGGUAACCUACCUAUAAGACUGGGAUAACUUCGGGAAACCGGAGCUAAUACCGGAUAAUAUUUCGAACCGCAUGGUUCGAUAGUGAAAGAUGGCUUUGCUAUCACUUAUAGAUGGACCUGCGCCGUAUUAGCUAGUUGGUAAGGUAACGGCUUACCAAGGCAACGAUACGUAGCCGACCUGAGAGGGUGAUCGGCCACACUGGAACUGAGACACGGUCCAGACUCCUACGGGAGGCAGCAGUAGGGAAUCUUCCGCAAUGGGCGAAAGCCUGACGGAGCAACGCCGCGUGAGUGAUGAAGGUCUUCGGAUCGUAAAACUCUGUUAUUAGGGAAGAACAAACGUGUAAGUAACUGUGCACGUCUUGACGGUACCUAAUCAGAAAGCCACGGCUAACUACGUG